UACGUAGGGGGCAAGCGUUGUCCGGAAUUAUUGGGCGUAAAGCGCGCGCAGGCGGUUCUUUAAGUCUGAUGUGAAAGCCCACGGCUCAACCGUGGAAGGUCAUUGGAAACUGGAGGACUUGAGUGCAGGAGAGGAAAGUGGAAUUCCACGUGUAGCGGUGAAAUGCGUAGAGAUGUGGAGGAACACAAGUGGCGAAGGCGACUUUCUGGCCUGUAACUGACGCUGAGGCGCGAAAGCGUGGGGAGCAAACAGG
rnacentral:rRNA from 1 species